ACUUCUCAUAGAAAGAUUCCAACGCAGAAGAGUAUUUUGAGUAUGAAAUUAGCCAAUUCACGGAAGGGAAGUGCUUCCUCUGGGCAAGCUUCUUAUCUAGACCCCAGAAAACCUGGACAAUACUGAGGGUGGCAGACGUCACUGGAUCAGAGAAAUCUCCUCCAGGGGGAGAAACUGCACCGACAAUGGUAACACUGCCAGUUCGUUCUGGCCCACCAAGACACUUCACUUUACCAGCACGCUCAUAGAAA
rnacentral:misc_RNA from 1 species